GAAGUAAAAGUCGUAACAAGGUCUCCGUUGGUGAACCAGCGGAGGGAUCAUUACCGAGUUUACAACUCCCAAACCCCUGUGAACAUACCUAUACGUUGCCUCGGCGGAUCAGCCCGCGCCCCGUAAAACGGGACGGCCCGCCCGAGGACCCUAAACUCUGUUUUUAGUGGAACUUCUGAGUAAAACAAACAAAUAAAUCAAAACUUUCAACAACGGAUCUCUUGGUUCUGGCAUCGAUGAAGAACGCAGCAAAAUGCGAUAAGUAAUGUGAAUUGCAGAAUUCAGUGAAUCAUCGAAUCUUUGAACGCACAUUGCGCCCGCCAGUAUUCUGGCGGGCAUGCCUGUUCGAGCGUCAUUUCAACCCUCAAGCUCAGCUUGGUGUUGGGACUCGCGGUAACCCGCGUUCCCCAAAUCGAUUGGCGGUCACGUCGAGCUUCCAUAGCGUAGUAAUCAUACACCUCGUUACUGGUAAUCGUCGCGGCCACGCCGUAAAACCCCAACUUCUGAAUGUUGACCUCGGAUCAGGUAGGAAUACCCGCUGAACUUUAAGCAUAUCAAUAACGGAGGAA
rnacentral:rRNA from 1 species